ACUCCACUGAAUUCAGAGAUAUCUGAGAUGAAGAGUCCAACUCGUGUGUAUGAGUCUCCACUCACUGGAUACGGUGAGGCUAAGAGGAUGAUUCUGGCCUCUGAUCAUGCUCAUCCAAUCAGGUCCUGAUAGAUGUGACAAAUUCAAGCAAAUGGAACCUGGGGAUAGUGCCUGGGAACACCCAGGGCAGUUCACCCCUACAGUGGUCUGCUCUGUUCCCCACGCAGCGACAGACAGAAGCCGAGUGCCUCGGGCUGUUUGGGCUGCCACAACAGAACACCAGAGCCUGGGGGCCUACACAACAAACAUUUGGUUCUUAUGGUUCUGGAGGCGGGGAAGUCCAAGAUCAAGGCCCCUGCAGAGCUGGUGGCUGUGAAGGAAGGCCCACCCUCUGGUUCAGAGCCUUCAUUCAGUGUGUCCUCACAUGACCCAAGAAGGGAGGGAAUCCUCUGGGGUCUCUGUCACAAGGGUACUCCUCCCAUUUCUGAGGCUCCAUCCUCAGGACCUAAUCACUCCCGAAGGCCCCACUCCCAACACCAUCCCACUGGGAUUUGGUUUCAACAUAUGAAUGGCGGGGGCAGGAAACACAAACAUUCAGUCCAUAAUAUUUGGUGCCCUGAAAAGAGCAUUGAUUUUGGGGUCAGGACGUCUUGCCUGGAAUUUCCAGCUGUGCAGCUUUGGGCAAGUCAUUUAACUUCUGACUCCUUUCGUUUCCUCAGCUGUAAAAUGGGCAUAAUACUGUUAUCUUCUGUUGUUGAAAAGAGUAUAUGAGAUGAUGAAUGUUUAAUGCUUUCUAGGCUGUGAAAUGUUCAUGCACAUUUUCCUUGCAAUCUCAGAAUCCUAUUCUCCCACAGCACAUGCUGUCCACACAUAUUUCAAGCAAAGUAGCUGGCUCUUUCCCUUGUAUAUGCAAAAGCCCUUCAACAACAUGCCUUUCCCCGCUGAGCAUUGGCUUUUUCACAAUAGUGAACGUUCUUACAGUGUGGAAGGUAACAGAAGGUGGAGGUUAGGAGACAUGGGAACUCUGUGUCCUGCUAGUUAGUAUUUUGCAAUUAAGUAAGUUCCACAUCCCAUGGGGUAAAAGCAAACUCGGUGACAUUUUACUGACCCUGUUGUCAGGGUUCCUGCGCCCCCGGCCAUUCAGAACCCAAUGGACUUAAGGGAGGAGACUCCCCGCCCAAAGCCACAAGGGGCUCCUGUCCUGGAAUUGUGUGAGGGCCCCGUGGAAGGGGGCUUGCAGGUGGCUCAGGCAGCCCCUUCAGCUUGGGGGAUUCCACUCAGGAAGGUAGAAGGAGAGCUGGCUCCCAGGUUGGAGCCGGGAUCUUAACCCGGACACCCAGAGCCCAGGCUUCAAAAGCUGGGCAUUUUUCGAGAUGUCUCCGUGUGGAUGCUAGGAUUCUCAUCACCCCUUUACUGCUGUGGUAUGCACAUGUCUUGGCUCCUCUGGUCUCUCCAUUUUCCAUGUGGUGUGAAAGUCUUCUGCUUCACCUGGAAACCUCCCUUCCUCGCCCUGGCCUCUUUGGACCCAUGCCUAGAACAUUCCCUGCCUCCCCAAGGAUGCCCCCCUGGCCUGCACCAGGUCAAGACUCCCUCGCCUCCCGCUCUCCCUGAAGCCCUGGAUGCAUCUGGGAUGCCUUUCACGUCUGCCCGCUUGCUGGCCAGCUCUACUUCCGUUUUCCAUGGGACUGUAUUUCAGAGGCUCAGCACUUCCUACAUUUCAAAGGAUUUCCAUAGCCGUGGUCUCCUGUGAUGUCACUUAGCAAUCCUGAGAUGAAGGGGCUCCUGGGUGGCUCAGUUGUUAAGCGUCUGCCUUCGGCUCAGGUCAUGAUCCCAAGGUCCUGAGAUCGAGUCCCGCAUCGGGCUCCCUGCUCCAGGGGGAGCCUGUUUGUCCCUCUCCCACUCCCCCUGCUUGUG